AAAGAGUUCUGGUUUUGGAAACAAAACCGACCCUUCAACCCAUUUGUAUUGCCAUUCCUUCGUUGCCUCGGGGGAAAAUCUGUGUGGUCGAAAGACUUCCGCAGAGACCCCCGAUGGACAUUAUAAACUCGUUUUUACUUAUCGUCCGAGUCAAUUGAUUAAACAAUCAAAACA
rnacentral:misc_RNA from 1 species